ensembl:lncRNA
ACACGCGGCUUCCACGCUGCGUCCGAUAGCUCGGGGCCACCCCGUCACUCACCCCACGCUAACCAGAGCAGCAGGUUCACUUCCUGCCCUGCCGGGCCCUCACACACACACCCUCACACACCCUCACACACCCUUACAUACACACUCUUACACACACCCUCACACCCCCUUACACAACACCCUCACUACACCCUCACACACACACCCUCACACACCCUUACAUACACACCCUCACACACCCUCACACCCCCUUACACAACACCCUCACACACCCUCACAUACACACCCUCACACACCCUUACACACACACACCCUCACACACACACCCUCACAUACGCACUCUUACACCCUCACAACACACACCCUUACACACACACCCUCACACACCCCCUUACACACACCCUUACAUACACACUCUUACACCCUCACACCCUACACAACACCCUCACACACACACCCUCACACACCCUUACAUACACACUCUUACACACACCCUCACACACCCUUACACAUACACCCUCACACACCCCCUUACACACACCCUCACAUACAUACUCUUACACCCUUACACGCACACCCUCACACACACCCUCACACACAAACCUCACACACACUCUUACACACACCCUCACACACCCUUACAUACACACCCUCACACACACACACCCUCACACACACACACCCUCACAUACACACUCUUACACCCUCACACACACACACACACCCUCACACACACUCACACUUACACACACAUUCACACACACACCAUCACACAACCUCACACCCUCUCACACACACACAUCCUCACACACCCUCACAAUAUACCCUCACACUCACACACCCUCUCACACACACCCUCACGCACACUCAUACACAUCCUCACACACACUCACACACAGCCUCACACACUCACCCUCACACUUACACAAUACACCCUCACACUCACGCACACCCUCACACACACCUUCACACUUGCAUUGCUUCCUGCCCCACCAAGCCCCGAGGCCCCUCCCAUGGCUCCACACACAUGCACACACACCCUCAUACACACACAUACCCUCACACACACACACUCUCACACUCACACACACCCUCACAUCCUCACACACAUACACACCUUCACACACAUGCCCUCACACACACCCUCACACUCACACACUCUCACACACACCCUCACACACACACACUCUCUCUCACACACACACCCUCAUACACACACAUACCCUCACAAACACACUCUCACACUCACACACACCCUCACACACAUACACACCUUCACACACACUCUCACACUCACCCACUCUCACACACACCCCCUCACACACACACCCUCACACACACACACACCCUCACACUCACACCCUCUCUCACACACACACCCUCUCUCACACACACACACCCCCUCACACCUGCAUUGUUUCCGUAAGCUCUGUGCUUUGCUUGGCCUCAGCGUCUGCUCCUCCCUGGGGCCUAAUGUUUUCUCUGGACCAAACACCUUUCCUGGCUUUUGGCUCCAGUUCUGUACCAAGUCGUUCUGGGAAGACUCAGGUUUUAGCUAGAAUUGUGGUGUUCUGGAGUGGGAGGGUGAGUGUACUUCUGCAUCAUAAGAAGUCUCUUUUUUUAAAGAUUCAUUUUAUUAAUUUGAAAAACAGAGUUACAGAGAGAGGUAGAGAGAGACAGAGAGAGGUCUUCCACCUGCUGGUUCAUACCCAGUUGGCUGUAAUGGCCGGAGCUGCGUCCAUCUGA